rnacentral:rRNA from 1 species
AAUGAACGUUGGCGGCGUGGAUUAGGCAUGCAAGUCGAGCGCGAUAUUGUGGAUUGAAACUUCGGUCGAUUGAAGCGAUGGAAAGCGGCGAACGGGAGAGUAACGCGUAGAAUACCUGCCCUCAAGUUCGGGAUAGCCAUGGGAAACUAUGGGUAAUACCGAAUAAUAUCUCCGGAUCAAAGGUGUGAUUCCGCUUGAGGAUGGUUCUGCGUCCUAUUAGCUUGUUGGUGAGGUAAUGGCUCACCAAGGCUACGAUGGGUACCGGGUGUGAGAGCAUGACCCGGCUCACUGGGACUGAGACACUGCCCAGACACCUACGGGUGGCAG